rnacentral:lncRNA from 1 species
GAAAUUUGGCGUCAGUUGUGCAAGCGACUGGUCGUUACGCACAUAGAUCCACUCUAGUAACCGUCAGCGGAGCAUCCGACAUUACAUCAUAAUGAACCACAAGCCACUGCUCGUAUUAGCGCUCUGCGCGAUGCUCCUCACCAUCAGUACGGUGAGAGCUGACGAUGACGAGGGAAACGAAUUUACCAGAGCUCUGAAAAGAAUCGGCAAGGCGAUCGAAAAAAUUGGACAAAAAGCCCGCGACGACGGUGUUAUUACCGAUUGGAUUCGCAAGAAGCUCAAACUGGAUGAACCAUAGUCUUGAACUUGACGUUGAUGUUCCGAUGAAGAAUAAAACAGACGCGCCACAUACAUUUUCAUCGAUUAUAUCAAAUGAACAGACACCGAACUACGCAUCGAACAAAUGCGACCUUCGGAAACGGCAUUUGCAUCACUCGUUUUUCCAUUUAUAGAUUUAUCUUCGUUUAAGUUAUUUUUUAUACCGUACAAAUGAUAGUUAUGAAUUACACGAUUUAUAUGGAUUUUUCUUAUGCAAAUAAAAAAGCGCUGUGAUUGAUCA